AGGGCGGCUCCGAGGCCCGCGUUAGCAGCGGGGAGCAACGGAGCUGUGGACUCGGAGGAGACCCGCCAGGAGCAUAAAUGGACUGCGCCGGCGGGGACGUCACGAUGCGUAGUCGCCACAAAGCUCAUGAACGCGCUCAUUUGGCUCCCAGCAUGCCGCACACCCGGAGGGACCGCCGCUUACAAGGAGGAACCCCUAAAAGCCCGCCCUGGAGCACCCGAGGAGGAACAAGAGCAUCCAGAGGUUUCUGUCGCGCAUUCGACGCUGCAGGCCCGAGGGGUUGUCUGUUAUCUUUGGUUAUCUAGCUGUAUGAGUGACGUACAUUCUUCAUAAAGCUAGAUAACCGAAAGUAACAAGAAUCCCAUUACACGCCUGCACAGGAAGAAGGAAAAAGGCGCGGAAAUUGAGCCCAGAGAGCAGCGGAUCGGGCUGGAGGUGGACGGCAGCUGCUGCUAACCAAUGAUGUGAAGGUUUCUGAUCUGGAGGAGUUUUACAACAAACUACUCAACGAAUGAAGCUGAAGAAAAGAUCUCAAACAAAGCAACCUGGUAGAAAUCAGUUCACAUUGUUCGGUUGGAUACAGAAAACACUGACAGUUCGACAUGUUGGACACUUCAAAUGAUACGAAGGACAGAGUGAUGGAUUCUGGGAAACCGUCCUGCACAGAUGUUCAGGAAACAUCUGGACUAGAUUUUAAUGUAGGUCAGAGCUCAGAUCAGCAUCUCUCUCACAAACACACAAACAAAACAACAAUUCAGCUGAGAUGUCAGUCAUAUUUAUGUAUUUUUAUGUAAAUAAAAAUCUGAAAUUGACAAAAUUAGUGAUUUUAAGUAGUCAAGUUAUAGAUUUGCUUUAUUUUCGGAAGGAUUUUUUUUUCAUCUUUAUCUUAAUUUCUUCAUUUUCAUUAGCUUUUAAGUUUUAUAGUUGGUGAUAAAUAUUUGUCCUGUGUGAAUCUGAAUGGUUCAGUUUAUUGACAAUCUUGGGACUCUCAGCAAUCAUCUCUGACUUUAUGUCAAAGUUGUUACAUUUAUUUUAUUUACUCAGGAUAAAGUUUUAUUAUUAUUUCUGACUGAGAAUGUAUCAUUUGUUUCUUGAAAUAUUGCACUAAUUGAAGCAGUUUGCAUAAAGGUUUUUUUUUAGAUGUUUAAAAGUUUAAAGGUUUAAUAUCAUUCAGUAUCAAGACUGAAUGUUGUGCGCUUACACUGUAGGGACUUUGUUGUGUGCAUGCAAUCAAAGCUACAUAACGUUACUUUGUCUAUGCAAGGAAAAGAAAAUAAGAUAAUUUUUUGUUAUUGGAAAGAAUUUGCACAAAUCAGUUAGAUUUGCACUAACAACGUUAGAUGUUCAGGCUUGAUUUGCACUAUAAGAGCACAAUGCAAUGCAGAAAAAGUGAGACUUAUGCAAGUUAGUCUGAAACUUAAAUAUAAGUUUUUGUUCCACAAAUAUGUAUAAAUUACUGAUUCAAAAUGUUAAAAAGUCUCAUUCUGUUGCAAUGUCAACAAGUGUAACUUAUUUUAAACUGAAAAAACUGUUUAAAGGUACUAAUAAUUACACAAUAUUGCACUAUUAAUAAUGGCCUCUUAGCAAUUUUAGAAGCUCAGUUUGCACAUAACCUGAGCUGUGCUAUGCAAUGGUUUCUAAUGUAAAUCAAUAAAAGUAUUGAUGUUUACAAUAAGACAUUCAUCUGCUCCUGUGUAAAGUUUGAUCGGUAAAGUUUGGUUUAUUUAAAGAUGAGUCUAAAUAAACAAAAUCCCAACUCAGAGGUUCGAGACAAUCAGUAUUUAGUUAUAUGGAAGUGAUCGAUUUUGUUCAAAGUUCAAUAGAUAUCAAUCAAAAGCAUUGUUUCUAAUGAACCACAAAUGUAAUUAAGGCAAAUUCAGUUGACUUAAAUGACUACCAUAUUUUAGCACUUGCAGGAAGACGGUCCUGCAUGGAUGUUUUUUAUUCUGGUAGCAGUCAACGCUUUCAAAAAUAGUUUUAGAUUUACUAAUGAAAAGUUACAGGUAAAUAAAACAAUCGGUCUUUGGAAGGCCUACGACAACUUACAUCUAAAGAGAAGAAAAGCAACAGAUUCCAUGAGUUUUUGAGGAAAUAAAGUCACAUCUUUGGAAAGUUUAUGAAACGGGAAGUCUGCAUUUUAGUCAAACUGUUUUUACAAGUGAAAUAAAUCAAAUUAAAAGAGAAAACUUGUGUUCUACCUUACAUUUUUCAUUUGGACGUCUUAUAUUGUUUUGCUCGAAAUGGACAACUACAAAUUUAGACUAUUCUUACAUUUCUGAUUAAAUGCCACACUUUGGACACCCUUGGUGUUGAUGUUUAGUCA